UACGUAGGCGGAAGAUUAAGUCAGUGGUGAAACCCUGCAGCUUAACUGUAGAACUGUCAUUGAUACUGGUUUUCUUGAAUUUAGUUGAGGUAGGCGGAAUGUGUAAUGUAGCGGUGAAAUGCUUAGAUAUUACACAGAACACCGAUUGCGAAGGCAGCUUACUAAACUAUGAUUGACGCUGAGGUACGAAAGCGUGGGGAGCGAACAGGAUUAGAUACCCUGGUAGUCC
rnacentral:rRNA from 1 species